GAGGAAUAUUGGUCAAUGGACGCAAGUCUGAACCAGCCAUGCCGCGUGCAGGAUGACGGCUCUAUGAGUUGUAAACUGCUUUUGUAUGAGGGUAAAAUCAGGUACGUGUACCUGACUGAAAGUACCAUACGAAUAAGGAUCGGCUAACUCCGUGCCAGCAGCCGCGGUAAUACGGAGGAUUCAAGCGUUAUCCGGAUUUAUUGGGUUUAAAGGGUGCGUAGGCGGUUUGAUAAGUUAGAGGUGAAAUGUCGGGGCUCAACCCCGAAACUGCCUCUAAUACUGUUAGACUAGAUAUUAGUUGCUGUGGGCGGAAUGUAUGGUGUAGCGGUGAAAUGCUUAGAUAUCAUACA
rnacentral:rRNA from 1 species